AUUGAACGCUGGCGGCAGGCCUAACACAUGCAAGUUGAGCGGUUGAGGUAGCUUGCUACCGAUGCAGCGGCGGACGGGUGAGUAAUACAUGGGAAUCUGCCUGGUAGUGGGGGACAACGUUUCGAAAGGAACGCUAAUACCGCAUACGCCCUACGGGGAAAGGGGGGGAGUCUUCGGACCUCUCGCUAUCAGAUGAGCCC
rnacentral:rRNA from 1 species